AGUAAGGCGAGACGGUACUUGAAUUCAAGCCACCACCUGCAGCUUUAAUUAGUCUGGCCAUAAAUAUAGUAACAAUUUGCAAACUUCGAUAUUUGAAUUUCGAUCGCAUAGAAUGUAAGGCUGGGUUGCACCAACUGCAAUAACAAGAGACCAUCAGAUGUGAAGAUGAUUUCAAAAAUGUUGAAGGAACCACCUGGAGUACAACUGCUGUGGAUAGACAGGAAUCGACGGAUCUGAAGGAGGCCUAUGUCGGAAGACAAGUGGAAGACGAAGAAACUAGAGAGUUAAUCAAUUGCCGUGUUAAUGUACUGUAUUGUUUGCAAAUAAAGGCUUUCAUUUAUUCAAAUAAUAA